AGGGAUCGAACCCGCAACUUCAUGGUUCCUAGUCGGAUUCGUUAACCACUGAGCCACAAUGGGAACGCCUCAACAUCAACUUUUAAGAUAUGUCUAGUUCAUUGCUUGUCAUUGCUAGAUAGGAUUCCACGGUACACACCCUCCAUGGUCAAUCUAGCCGGUCCCCUGGGGGUGGUGCUGACUACUCAAAGGCUGGACAGAUGGCCCUGCUCAGGCUCCCCAGUGUUUACUCCCGGCAUCCUGCCUUCCAUGCCCAGGAGGCAGGCAGGAGCCUGACGUCUUGCCUACUCUGCCAGACAUUCUGCGUGGCCCCGGGCAGCCCUGACCCUUCUCCAGGCUUCACUGCCUCCUUUUAUACACACAGGAUUGUCUUUUUUCUCAUUCAGGGCCUGGAGCCUGGGGCCGGCCCCCUGUGAACGCUCUUCCCUAGAAGGAAUAUGUUGACUGUGGGGUCCAGGCGGCACAGAGGCUGGACCAGGACUGUGGAGACGCCGAGUCAGAGGGCGGCAGAGGCCCCUGGGAAUGGGGCCCAAGGCCAUUCUGCCCGCAUGCAGGCAACUCUGGUCUGGAGGAAGCCCUUCAGCCUAGGGGGGCCCAUCAGAGCCUCCAGGGCAGCGAAGACACAGAGCUGCGGAACAAGGACCAGAGUUCUGCAUUCCCACUCUGCCCCUGGAGCUUGCUCUGUGGGGGAUCCAGGGCCCCUCCUGAGGGCCGAUAUCCUCCCGCCCCACCUAGGGCGGGCCUGGAGCUGCUGCCUGGCCCACACGCCAGCUCAUGGGAAGCCCAAGGUCUGUCUUCCCUUCCCUGGCGGGACUCGGCUGGGGCCUUCUGGCGGGAGACUCCAGCAGGCCAUUAUGCCAUCUCGUCCAACACCCCCCUGUCCAGCUCCCUGCCCUUUCUUCGGCUCCGUUUCCCCAUGUGGAUGAUGGGGAGAUUAGACUGACUGUCCCUUGAGAGCAGGUUUGAUGGCUCCAUAAACACUUGGAGAUUAAAAUAUUUUCAGGAGCUAUUCAGUCCAUUCUCCAGCUUUGGGCAAGAGCCCAAGACCUCUCACAACCUCUGCAGACGAUACUUUAGCUGCCAGGAAAUUCUCCCACCGUCUGACCUAAAUCCUUCCUGCUUUAGCUGCAAUCUGUUCCCUCCUGCUCAGUGGUUCCUGGAAGCGGCCCAGAGUGGAGGGUCUGAGGUUACUGCUGUUGCUUGCCCACACCUCACCUGUUUUCCUUUUGGCUUCCCCUUUUCUGUGGUUUCCGGAAACCACACCCCCUUUGAAAUCUUUCGGCCUCCCGCUCACAAGAUGUAGACGAAGGAAAGUGGAAUGCAAAAGAGCCCUAAUCUCUCAUGCCUGGGGCUGCAGGAUAAACAAUGUCCAGCAGGAACCGGUCAGUGGGUUGUGAAAUAUGUACAGAGCGGGAUGUUUUGGCCCCGCAGCCCGACUCCAGAGGAACCCUUAGGUGGGGAAAGCCGAAAGCGCAUAGAGCUCGGCCUUGAAUAAAGAGGAGCCAGAAGGGCUUCCGGGGUGGGAGCUGGCAGCUCCAGGCCCUGAGAAAUAACCAUCAAAUAAGCAGGACCUAAAAUUGUCAGUGCCAGCCUGGUGGUACCACAUCUGAGUGACCGGCAGGCAGGCCAGGUGGCCGCAGGAUCUGCUGCGGCUCACUAUGAAGGGCAAUUUCAGCCCAGGGAAAGGAGCUGGGAUGGCCAUAAAGCCUGGCCCAGACCCUCCAGUGGCUCCCUAUUCACUUAUGGAGUCAAGUUCAGACUUCUCAGGGUGGCAGAUAAGGCCUUCUGUGGUCUGACCUUAACCUGGCCUUCCAGAUCUGAACCCUAGGGAUCAGUAGGCAGCUCCUAGCACAACUGACCUUUUCUGCCCCUAACCUCUGACCUCCCAGUGUCCUUGUCCUGGAAUUCCCUGUCAUAUACACGUACCCCCCCUCACAGACCUACCCAAAGCCUACGUUAUUAGCCUUCCUCUGCCACUGCCUGGCGCCCUGCCCUCUUCCCCCCUCGCAGCGUUUGCUGCUCUCAGACCUGGAGAGGCAGUCCUGGGGCAGGGAUGGCCUUGCCCCUCUGGGUGGCAGGACCAGUCUCCGAGGAGAGGAUUUAUGUUUAUCAAUUGAGCAGACUGCUCAGGAAGUAGCUGGGGCUGAGCUGGAAGAGGCUGCUGCUCACCAUCGUGAAGGAAAGCUACUUUCCCCUCUGGCCAAGCCUUCUGCCGUCUCCUUGCACACCUCACUCGCUCACACUCUCCCCAGUGUGAACACAGCCCCCAUCCUGGCAGGCCCUGCUUAGUGGCCCUGGCUGGCUUCCAGAAGCCUCUGUGGAUUCUGCAGUCUCCUAGGUUCCCUUCCUGCCCCUCAGACCCUUCACAGUGACCUGAACUCUUUAUCUUUCUUACAGAACCUGCUCAGCCCAUGGCCCUUCCACCCUAGCUUAGGGCAACUUCUUCCUUUUAGCUGCAAAGGCCAUAACCCCUUCUGUUCUGCCUGACCCCUUUCUCUUACACCCCACAUCCAAUCCAUCAGGAAAGCCCAUCAGCUCUAGCUCCAGAAUAGAUCCUGACUGCCCACCACUUCUGUGGUUACCCCCUGCCUGGCCACCAGUAUCUUGCCAGCCUCCCCCUUCCUGCCUCCUCACUGUCCAUUCCCAGCAAAGCAGUAAGGGACCCUGUUUCAAUGUCACCGCACUAGCUCCCCAAUGCAUGGAGAGUAAAAGCCAAAGUCCCCACAGUGGCCUACAAGGCCCUCCAUGGUCGGGACCCUGUCAUCUCUCUGACUUGUCUGCUCUAACUGCGCAGGAACACACUUGAAAACCCCAGGGAAUUCCUACCUCAGGGCCUUUGCACUGGCUGUUCUUCUGUCUGGGAUGCUCUGCCUGUGGUAGCUGCAAGGCUCACUCAUGUGCCUCCUUUAAGUCUUUGCUCAAAGGCCACCUUUGCAGCCUCUCCCAACACUCCAGAUCUCCCUGACUUAUCUCUGUUUUUUCCACCUUCUAUUAUUUAUUAUGUUUACCCAUGAAAAUGCAAGACCCACGAGGGCAAGGAUUUUGUCUCUUUUUUAAGCAAAUGAAUACCCAGCUCUAGACCAGCACCAGCACACAGUAAGGCACUUGGUGAAUAUUUGUUAAAGGGUUGGAUUUCCUUGGGAGAUGCUAUCCAGAUGAGAGCCAUGGGGAGGGGAAGGGGGGGGCUGAGGCUGGCCCAGGUCUGGUGCACAGUGUGUUCUGAGAGCUGGCGAGCCAGGCGCGGUGGAGGUGGGCCUGGGCCAUGGCAUCCUGCCUACCUGGUUUCUUGCUGCUGGGCUGAGGCCACGGCGAGGACAGGGAUGGGUCCGGGGCGCCCCUGAAUUCCCUGUACCCAGCUAAGGGCCUGGCACCUGUGCAUCCUCAGCGAGCACGAGCACAAAUACCAGCCCCCCACAGAGAGAGAGUCUGCUGGCACUGCCCUGUGAGCAGAGCCUUCAUUAUCAGGCGAAGGCUGGGACUGAGUCCAAAAAACCUUUCUUUUGAAAAAGGCUUAGCAUUGGGGCUGGAAAAUCCAUGGUUCCAAUGGGCCCAUGAAGGGGAGGAAGGGUGGGUUGUCUCCUGAGACUUUGGUGGUAAACGUCCCUGAGGCCUUGACAUCCCCAUCUGACUACCUUCCUGCUCUGGUUCUAACCCGCUCUCCCCACCUUCAGGUGAUGCCGCAGUGCUGGGUUUCUGGGUGCCCCUCAGUGACGGGGAGGGACCGGGUGCAGCCUCGGCUUGCAAUCUGGAAUCCAGACAAAAAGGCCCUUCGGGUCCAGCUGCCUGUGGUGAGGAGGCCGCUGGGUCAGGGCAGCGGAGGGAGGAGACCCAGCCUCUCCUUCCGGCCUCCCUCCCGAGCGGAUUGUGCUCCGCAGGAAUGUGGGGCACAGAAUUGGAAGCAGGUGUGGGCUGCCUGGGCGGACCUGGACCACCCGCUCCUCCCCCGCCCCUUCCUCUGCUGCCAUUCCAGCCACUGCCCUGGGGAGUUUUCCAUGUGUUCUUGGCUUGUACAGGAGUGGGGUGGACUUGGGCUGGAACUGCUGGGGAGAGGUGCCCCUUUGAAGGUGAGAGGGCAUGAAGAUGGGGGCCCCUGGGCGGUGGAGAGAGGGAGGAGAGGGGACAAAAGGCCAGAACCGCCCCCCCCCCCCGCCGCCCCUGCCCCGAAAACACACAAGUGCGGCAGAAGCCUGGAGCCCGUGAGGCCCUAGAAACUCCCCACCUGGCUCAGCCACCCUCCCCAAAGGCUCUGUGGGGCCUGAGAGCUCAAAGCAAAAAAAUUCCAACGAUUUGUGUCCUAGGGGGUUUAGACCUGAGGGAAACAAUUUAACCUGGAGACAUAGCUUCCCUGGGGGGCAGGAGCAGAGGGAGGGCUGCAGCGGUUCGGUGGGGGAGAGAGAGUCCAGUCUGGGCCCAAGCUUGGCCACCGAUGAACUCUGAGACCCUGGACGAGUUACUGAACUUCUCUAGCCUGGGUUGCCUCCUCUGUGAAACAUGGACGUUAACACCAUCUACCUCACAAGCUUGCUGGGGGACUCAAAGAGGACAUGAACAAAAAAUGCUCAGCAUAGUGUCUGGUGCCUGUGAAGGGUUCAACAAUAUCAGCUGCUAUUAUGAGUAUUUAACAUGGGGGCCGUCUCUUCUUGCGGGGAUGGUUGUUUGAGAGCCAAGGAGAGAGGACGUGGCCUAGCCACUGGAUGAUCUGAGAGGAGACAGGGAGUCUGCCUGCCAUGAGGCUGCCCCGGUCAUGAUGCCAGCGUUUGUUCCCACACCAGGGCCCUCUGGUUGGCAAACAGGGGAGUAGGAAGAGGACCCAGGGCCCUCUGUCUCCACAACUGUCUGGCUCUUUCCCCCAGGUUCCUCGCCUGAAGACUCCAUUUCUUUCUGAAGGAGCAACUUGAGACCACUUCUGGAAGUAAGGAGGGAUCCUGAGCUGUGAUUCUGCCUCCACCAGUCACCAGUAGGUAGCCUUGGGCAGGUCACUUAACCUCUGAGGGCCUCAGGUUCCUCCUCUGCAAAAGGAGGGGAGUCAUAAUACCCAGGGUUGCUAUGAGGGUUGAGCGACUGUGAUUGUGAAGCUCCAAGAACAGUGUUAGGCGCUGAUACGCGCUAGAGACGUAGAUGUGUUUGUUAAACAAACAUGCUGGAGUCUGGAGUGGGGAUGACAAGGCUGCAAGCCAACGCCACACGGAGGAGGUGCUCUUUGCUUCCAAAGCUGUGCACACUCACUGUCCAGCCCUCACUCUGUUGCAACCCAUGCCCAGAAUGUGGGAGAAGUCGAGUAUCUACUGAAUGACCAAAUGGAUGUGCAAGGGCCUCCUGCCUCUGAUAAAACCAAGAAUCCCAGGGGUAUAUGUGAAAUCCAGUCUAUGGGUUGAUCCUGGUACUGUUGCCUCAAGGGAGGAGGACAGCCCGCGGGCCUGCCAAGGUGUCCUGUGAUCUUCAACUGAACAUCUGUGCCUUGCAGUGCUGUGGGUGCUUUGGCAGAGUCUCAUCAGCAGCACUGAUGCUGCCAAGCAUUUUGUCCAGUGCAGGUUCCCUGGGCAGCUCUUCUGGGCCAGAGCCUGUGCUGGGAGCUGAGGACAGACAGAUCAGACCUGCUCCUCAUUCUUGAGAAGACAGCCAACAGAGAAAUGAGAAUGCUGAGGCUGACCGUGAGCAAAAUGAAUUCAGAGUAUGUAAGUGUUUUGUCCUUCCUCCCCUCCUAAGUCUUUUCUUCUCUCUCUACCACACGCCAGGGCACCCAGCUAGGCACCUGCCAGGAACUGCUCCAUAAAGCUUGCCCUCUAGAUCACUGAGGCAGGGCCUUCUGUGGCAGCAGAGAUGCCCAGAAUUUGGUGGCUUCGAACCAAAUGCACCUAAUCCCCCUGUAGCAGAAGCCAGUUCUGGUUCAGCUGCAUUUAGGAAAGGACAGUUCUAUGCCAGCACAGCGCCCACCUCAAACACCUGCGGCCCUUCUCUCCCCUUUCUUUCUGAUGCCACAAGAGCUGAUUGGGCUCAUGAUCAAGUUCCAUCCAGAAGAGCAGAGAAGUGAACAGCCCUCUGGGGCAAGCCCUGGGCCAAUAGGGGUUGGGAACCAGUGGAUAACUCUUCCAGCCUUCCAGCCUUUUGGCAAACAGUUCAAGAGGUCCCAGGGAGUAGAGCCCCACCUGUGCCCUAGCUUCUCAGCUCAUGCUCCUUUAUUUAUUUAUUGACCCCAGGCUAGGGGUCAAUUCAGAGCCACAGCC